rnacentral:lncRNA from 1 species
AAUUUAUAGAACUUAAUAGAAAUUUGAGAACAAUUUUGGUUAAUUUCUAUUUGACAUGUAUACCCUUCUCAUUAUAUAGUAGCAUGCAGAAGUUUGUUGUCUGUAGGAUCUUUUGAUGAUUUUGAAAGAAGUCUCUUAUGUUCACCAAGACUGAAUUUGUUUGAUCAAAAAUACAACACAAUGUGAAAUAUUAUUACAGUUUUAAUAAACGAUAUUGCUUGUAAAUUCCAUUAUCAGCAGUCUUACCAUUGAUUUCAUGCGUUCUUGUUUCACGCUCAUGUCUGUUCUUUGUUUUAUUAUUGAUCAAAGAUUCCUGGAAAAAAAAAAAAAACGUUUUUCACAAAAAAAACGUUUGAAUAUCUAUACAAAUGUAAUUUAUUCCUGUGAUGCAAAGCUGAAUUUUCUUCAGUGUCACAUGAUCCUUCAUAAAUCUUUCUAAUAUGACAUGAAUGCUGAUGCUCAACAAACAGUUUUACUAUUGUCAAUGUUGAAAAAAAAAAUGUGCUGCUUAAUUUUUUUUUUUUACAGGAACCCUUGAUCAAUAAUAAAACAAAACAAAACAAAAAACAGACAUGAGCAUGAAACAAGAGCACAUGAAAUCAAUGGUAAGACUGCUGAUAAUGGAAUUUACAAGCAAAAUUAAAUCAUGAUGGUUUAAUUGCUAUAAGUUGAGACCCUGUGCCACCCUAUGACCCUAUUUUAAGUAAUGUCCUCCAUGUCACCCUCUGUGUGUCUGUCUGUGUGUCUUGCUGUCUGUCUCCUCAGGUGAAGUGUGGAGUGAUAGGGCCCAGGACUGCUCUUUCUUUCACCUUCUUGUCUCCAAAGUGCCAGGCGUUUCACUCAGGGUGAGAGAUGUUAUUGAGGUGUGUGUUAUUCUUGAUGUCAGCCUCCAGCCGGGAGCAGGAGUCAACACAGUUAGUUACAUGCACAGCGCCAUCAGCCUGUCAGUCAAGUCAGCCCUUCCAUUCCCAAAUCAUUAUGUUACAGCAUUAUCCAUGUGGAGAUAAUAUCCUCUUGGGCAAUCAGUCACUGGGUAUGUCGAAAGAACCACACACGUUCAAGCACACUCCUUUAAACAUAAAUUAUUGUCAUCAAUGUCUCUGUGUAACUAAUACAUUUAGACUAUUGAUGUGUUUAUGAAUUUGUAAUAAUUUUUUUUCAAUCAAUUUAUUUUUUCAGGAUUCCUUGAUGAAUAGAAAGUUCAAAAGAACAGCAUUUAUUUGAUAUAGAAUUUUUUAAUUUAAUUUUUUAAUAAUAUUUUAUUCUCUUUACUUUUAUUGUCUUUUUACAAUUUGUCAUCUUUAAUUAAAGUGUCUAUAUAUAUAUAUAUAUAUAUAUAUAUAUAUAUAU